rnacentral:rRNA from 1 species
CCUACGGGAGGCAGCAGUAGGGAAUAUUUCACAAUGGGCGAAAGCCUGAUGCAGCAACGCCGCGUGCAGGAUGAAGGCCUUCGGGUUGUAAACUGCUUUUAUAAGCGAGAAAUAUGAUGGUAACUUAUGAAUAAGGAUCGGCUAACUACGUGCCAGCAGCCGCGGUCAUACGUAGGAGCCGAGCAUUAUCCGGAUUGACUGGGUGUAAAGAGUUGGGUAAGUGGGAUAAUAAGUAGCGAGGGCGAUCUGGUGGCUCAAACACUCGGACUAUUAGCUAAACUGUUAAGCUGGAGAUCGUGAGGGGUAAGUGGAAUUUCUAGUGUAGGAGGGAAAUGCGUAGAUAUUAGGAGGAACACCGAUGGCGUAGGCAGGUUGCUGGAACGGUACUGACGCUAAGGCACGAAAGCGUAGGGAGCAAACAGGAUUAGAUACCCCAGUAGUC